rnacentral:rRNA from 1 species
AGCAGCCGCGGUAAUUCCAGCUCCAAUAGCGUAUAUUAAAGUUGUUGCAGUUAAAAAGCUCGUAGUUGAAUUUCGGGGUUAGUAGGUUGGUCAUGCCUCUGGUAUGUACUGGUCUCACUGAUUCCUCCUUCCUGAUGAUCCGUAAUGCCAUUAAUUUGGUGUUGCGGGGAAUUUGGACUGUUACUUUGAAAAAAUUAGAGUGUUUAAAGCAAGCUAACGCUUGAAUACAUUAGCAUGGAAUAAUGAAGUAGGACGUUCGAUCCUAUUUUGUUGGUUUCUAGGAUUGACGUAAUGAUUAAUAGGGAUAGUUGGGGGCAUUAGUAUUCAAUUGUCAGAGGUGAAAUUCUUGGAUUUAUUGAAGACUAACUACUGCGAACGCAUUUGCCAAGGAUGUUUUCAUUAAUCAAGAACGAAAGUUAGGGGAUCGAAGACGAUCAGAUACCGUCGUAGUCUUAACCAUAAACUAUGCCGACUAGGGAUCGGAUGAUGUUAAUUUUUUAAUGACUCA